rnacentral:rRNA from 1 species
AGCGAACGCUGGCGGCAGGCUUAACACAUGCAAGUCGAGCGGGCACCCUCGGGUGUCAGCGGCAUACCGGUGAGUAACACGUGGGAACGUACCCUUCGGUUCGGAAUAUCUCUGAGUAACUAGCGCUAAUACCGGAUACGCCCUUAUGGGGUAAUGUUUACUACCGAAGGGUCGGCUCGCGUCUGAUUAUCUUGUUGGCUUGGGUACGGCCUACCAAGGCGAGGAUCAGUAUAUGGGCUGAGAGGAUGAUCAGCGACACUGGGGCGGAGACACGGUCCAGACUCUUACGGGAGGCAGGAGAGGGGAAUAGUGGACAAUGGGCGGAAGGCUGAUCCAGCCCGGCCGGGUGAGUGAUGAAGGCCUUAGGGUUGUAAAGUUCUUUUGUCCGGGACGAUAAUGACGGUACCGGAAGAAUAAGCCCCGGCUAACUUCGUG